UACGGAGGGGGCUAGCGUUGUUCGGAAUUACUGGGCGUAAAGCGCACGUAGGCGGCUUUGCAAGUUAGAGGUGAAAGCCCGGGGCUCAACUCCGGAAUUGCCUUUAAAACUGCAUCGCUAGAAUUGUGGAGAGGUAAGUGGAAUUCCGAGUGUAGAGGUGAAAUUCGUAGAUAUUACGGUAAGAACACCAGUGGCGAAGGCGACUUACUGGACACAUAUUGACGCUGAGGUGCGAAAGCGUGGGGAGCAAACAGG
rnacentral:rRNA from 1 species